AGAGUUUGAUCCUGGCUCAGGAUGAACGCUAGCGGCAGGCUUAACACAUGCAAGUCGAGGGGCAGCAUGUCCAGCAAUGGAUGAUGGCGACCGGCGGAAGGGUGCGUAACGCGUGAGCAACAUGCCCUAUACAGGGAGAUACACCAGGGAAACUUGGUCUAAUAUCCCAUAGCAUUCAUUGAAGGCAUCUUUAAUGAAUUAAAGCUUCGGUGGUAUAGGAUUGGCUCGCGUGACAUUAGCCAGAUGGUGAGGUAACGGCUCACCAUAGCAAUGAUGUCUAGGGGUUUUGAGAGGAAGGCCCCCCACACUGGGACUGAGACACGGCCCAGACUCCUACGGGAGGCAGCAGUGAGGAAUAUUGGACAAUGGAUGGAAAUCUGAUCCAGCCAUGCCGCGUGCAGGAAGACGGCCUUAUGGGUUGUAAACUGCUUUUAUACGGGAGCAAUAAGGGUUACGAGUAAUCCGAUGAGAGUACUGUAUGAAUAAGGAUCGGCUAACUCCGUGCCAGCAGCCGCGGUAAUACGGAGGAUCCGAGCGUUAUCCGGAAUUAUUGGGUUUAAAGGGAGCGUAGGCGGGGGGUCAAGUCAGCUAUGAAAUACGUACGCUUAACGUUCGUCUUGCAGUUGAAACUGGUUUUCUUGAGUGCGUAUGAGGCAGGCGGAAUUCGUGGUGUAGCGGUGAAAUGCUUAGAUAUCACGAGGAACUCCUAUUGCGAAGGCAGCUUGCUGGUCCGCUACUGACGCUGAUGCUCGAAGGUGCGGGCAUCGAACAGGAUUAGAUACCCUGGUAGUCCGCACAGU
rnacentral:rRNA from 1 species